rnacentral:piRNA from 1 species
UNGAUAUUGCUUUGAAUUGGUGACCUUUA